UAAAACCAGCUCUUCAAGUGGUCGGGAAUAUUAUUGGGCUUAAAGUGUCCGUAGCCGGUUUGGUAAGUUCCUGGUUAAAUCUGGCAGCUUAACUGUCAGUCAGCUAGGAAUACUACUUUACUAGAGGGUGGGAAAGGUUUGAGGUACUCCAGGGGUAGCGGUGAAAUGCGAUAAUCCUUGGGGGACCACCAGUGGCGAAGGCGUCAGACUGGAACACGCCUGACGGUGAGGGACGAAAGCCAGGGGAGCGAACGGGAUUAGAUACCCCGGUAGUCCUGGCCGUAAACGAUGCGUGCUAGGUGUUGGUAGGGCUUUGAGCUGUAUCAGUGCCGUAGGGAAACUGUUAAGCGCGCCGCCUGGGAAGUACGCUCGCAAGGGUG
rnacentral:rRNA from 1 species